CGGAUGGGCGAUGGUUUUCAUUCCGUUCUCUGUAAAACCGGGUCGUCGGCUGGGAGCCGGAGGACCGAUCGCUGUCAGCGGGAACAAUUGAUCAAGUUCUCAUCGCACAAACUGAUCACAGCUGUCCUCAAAAUGGGUCAAGGUUCGAGCAGUGGAGGAGCUCCAGUGACGUCAACAUCGGGAAAGGACACGGAGCAGCAAAAACUGAAAACUCCUGUCCACAAAAUGGAUCAAGGUUCGAGCAGUGGAGGAGCUCCAGUGACGUCAACAUCAGGAAAUGACACGGGUAUGUUGGCGAAGUAUUUUAAUUUAUAAAUACUCUGCGGAUUCUCCGCCUGGGUUUAAUUCAAUAAUGGCAAUUCUCCAAAUAUUUGUGAAAACUGACCAGAGUGAUUAGAGAGAGAGUUAACAUCUCUGGGGGAAACACAGUCACAUGUGGAAGGAGUACAGUUACCAUCUGCUCAUGCUCCUCUAACAGAUUGUGAUGCACAUUAAAAUAGCGAGUUACUCCAGAAGACAAGACAUUCUACAGAUGCUGAAAGUUUUGUGCAACAAAAAGAGACACAAAAUAUUGGCGGAAUUCAGCAGAUCAGGCAGCAUCCAUGGACAUGAAUAAACAGUCAACAUUUCAGAUCAGGACCACGGGGAACAGAAAGUAAUGUCACAAUAUCUAGAAUUUCUGUCCCCUCAUUUCCAGUCAGAUGAAGGGCCUUGGCCUGAAAUGUUGAUUGUUAUUCUCCUCCAUAGAUGUUGCCUGACCUGCUGAGUACCUCCAACAUUUUGUGAGAAAUCCCAGAGAUUUGCUGAGGAAGUGGUUGACCAGACAGGCAGACAGUAACCCAAAGCAAAGCGGUGGUGAUGGGCAGUACCAGGAGAGUGAUGGUGAUGGGUUACUGUAUUCUCAGCAAUAAGCAGAGUCCUUUCCAAACAGAGAGGUAUAUUCCUGGGGACAUGAAACAGCAGACUUCAACAGAUGGAAUUAUACCACCUCCUACACCCCCGUCGACCCCUACCCUCCGGCUCAAACCCGUUCUCCCACAUAUAUA